AUUGAACGCUGGCGGCAUGCUUUACACAUGCAAGUCGAACGGUAGAGGGGCAACCCUUGAGAGUGGCGAACGGGUGAGUAAUGCAUCGGAACGUGCCCAGUAGUGGGGGAUAGCCCGGCGAAAGCCGGAUUAAUACCGCAUGAGACCUGAGGGUGAAAGCGGGGGAUCGCAAGACCUCGCGCUAUUGGAGCGGCCGAUGUCAGAUUAGCUAGUUGGUGGGGUAAAGGCCUACCAAGGCGACGAUCUGUAGCUGGUCUGAGAGGACGACCAGCCAGACUGGGACUGAGACACGGCACAGACUCCUACGGGAGGCAGCAGUGGGGAAUUUUGGACAAUGGGCGAAAGCCUGAUCCAGCAAUGCCGCGUGCGGGCAGAAGGCCUUCGGGUUGUAAACCGCUUUUGUCAGGGAAGAAAUCAUCUGGGCUAAUACCCUGGGAGGAUGACGGUACCUGAAGAAUAAGCACCGGCUAACUACGUGCCAGCCGCCGCCGUAAAAC
rnacentral:rRNA from 1 species